UACGUAGGGUCCGAGCGUUGUCCGGAAUUAUUGGGCGUAAAGGGCUCGUAGGCGGUUGGUCACGUCGGGAGUGAAAACUCAGGGCUCAACCCUGAGCGUGCUUCCGAUACGGGCCGACUAGAGGUAUGCAGGGGAGAACGGAAUUCCUGGUGUAGCGGUGAAAUGCGCAGAUAUCAGGAGGAACACCGGUGGCGAAGGCGGUUCUCUGGGCAUUACCUGACGCUGAGGAGCGAAAGUGUGGGGAGCGAACAGG
rnacentral:rRNA from 1 species